UACGGAGGGGGCUAGCGUUGUUCGGAAUUACUGGGCGUAAAGCGCACGUAGGCGGCUUUGUAAGUUAGAGGUGAAAGCCUGGAGCUCAACUCCAGAAUUGCCUUUGAUACUGCAAGGCUUGAAUCCAGGAGAGGUGAGUGGAAUUCCGAGUGUAGAGGUGAAAUUCGUAGAUAUUCGGAAGAACACCAGUGGCGAAGGCGGCUCACUGGACUGGUAUUGACGCUGAGGUGCGAAAGCGUGGGGAGCGAACAGG
rnacentral:rRNA from 1 species